GAACUGAUGAGGAGUCCCACAAUAGGACGAAACGGCCGUCCAGUGC
rfam:Schistosoma rodhaini strain Burundi genome assembly, scaffold: SROB_scaffold0004887